AACCGGGAUGAGCUUCAAAUUUAAAAUCUGGCGUCUUUCAGGCGUCCGAGUUGUAAUCUAUAGAGGCGUUUUCCGCGCCGGACCGCGUCCAAGUCUCUUGGAAUAGAGUAUCAAAGAGGGUGACAAUCCCGUACUUGACGCGACAACCGGUGCUCUGUGAUACGUUCUCAAUGAGUCGAGUUGUUUGGGAAUGCAGCUCUAAAUGGGUGGUAAAUUCCAUCUAAGGCUAAAUAUUGGCGAGAGACCGAUAGCGAACAAGUACCGUGAGGGAAAGAUGAAAAGCACUUUGGAAAGAGAGUUAAACAGCACGUGAAAUUGUUAAAAGGGAAACGAUUGAAGUCAGUCGUGUGAAAGGUAUUCAGCCGUCUCUGGCGGUGUAUUUGCCUUUCACGGGUCAACAUCAGUUUGAUCCGGUAGAAAAAGGCGGGAGGAAGGUGGCACCCUCGGGUGUGUUAUAGCCUCCUGUCAUAUGUGCCGGACCAGACUGAGGAACGCAGCUUGCCGCAAGGCCGGGGUUCGCCCACGUACAAGCUUAGGAUGUUGACAUAAUGGCUUUAAACGACCCGUCU
rnacentral:rRNA from 1 species